GAGUUAUUCUCGAUAACCGACUUAAUGGACUUUCUCAUACAGAGCACAUUCUUAAAAAAUGUGAAAAAGGUAUCAAUGCCCUUCGGGCAGUUUCAGGCGUUUGGUGGGGAGCUCACCCAUAUUCUCAAAAACUCCUCUACAAUGCCAUAGUUCGUAGCCAUAUGGACUAUGGUUUAUUCGUUUUAGACCCUAUUAUUAAAUCAGCUUCAGAAAAACUAAAUAAAAUACAAUACAAAUGCCUUAGAA
rnacentral:misc_RNA from 1 species